UUAUACAAAACAGUAGAGCUGCAUGUCCUGGUUGCCAAGGAGAGAGAAAGUGAGAGUUUCCGACAGGCCUGUUUACUCUAGCCAUCAUAAACACCAUCAGUCCUGUGGGGCGACUGACAUAACGCGCUCCGACAGGACAUGGCAGGGGCUCUCUGUCCGCUCCAGUAGCCAGCCAUUAUGAGCCUAACGCUUGGAACAAGGUUUUUUUUCCCCCUCUCGACAGACAUCUUUCAUAAUUGCACUUUCCGAUGAAGUGGCUCGUGAAAUCCAUAGGUCUCGUGUGCACCCAGCAUGCAGCUUUUGGCAGGAGUCGAAGUUUGAGAUUUGGACAGGAGGCUAGUAAUGAACCGCUGCUGUGGAGUAUUUUUCAUUGCUUCCUGUUUUAAUGAAGAGAAGGUUCUCGUGUUGUCUGAGUGGUUUUUGUGGCAGUGAAAAUAUUCCGUGGUUUCUAGUCUUUAUGCGCCAUCUUGUCACAUGGUGCAGGCGCUCGCAGAGGGGCUCGUCACCAGAGGCAUCGUGCCUCCUUCACAAACCACUGACUGCUGAGUGUGAAGUCUGUCAUUGGCGAGGAGGCAGGUUGUGGUUAGCCACUGUGCGUCAAACAUGGCAACACAGCACAGUACACUAACGCUGGGUCGCUGGGAUUAGAGCUGGCAGGCUACCCUUGGGAGACCCCCUUUCUCACGAAGGCCAAACUGAACGUUUCCCUUAGCAGCUGCUUUGCUGUCGUAGUCGAAAGAGAGGACAAAAGGCUGCUGUACUUCACCACAAAAAGAUAAAACACAAGCUGGUCUGUGCCUGUCAUCCAGUGCAGAUGAAGACAGAUUAUUCACCACAGGUAUGACUCAUCAGAAGCCAUGUUGCCUAAAGCCAGUGUCUGUGAGCUGUGUGGCCCCAGGGAACGGCUGUAUUUCAUUGUGAAAUUAAAUGCUCUUGGCUGCACAAGCACCAUCAUUAUGGCCUGUUGACCCAGAAAGAUUUGUUGCAGAAUAUUUUGCUCAACUUCUGUUGCAGUGGAGGUGGGGAAAGGACUGCAUAACUUAGCACAUCUCAGUUUGUCAUCUGUGUAACUAAAUGAUGUUAAAUCCUCAAGUCUCAGCAUGAUUAUGUUGUAAUUACUCAGUAAUUUUUCCCUCAUUAAAAAAAAUUUUUAAACAAGGAAAUGAAUAAUAUUUUUGAAAAAUGUUUAAAAUUAUGUACACACAAUAGAUUUAGACUCCAGUCAUAUCAGUAGUUCAAUCAGUAGCAAUUUUUUUACAGAGUGGGUUGCUUUAUGGCCGAUAUGUUGAAAUUGCAUAACCAGUCUAACACUACUCACUCGCGCCCAAAUAUGCAUAGUAAAUAGUGGGCUCUAUUUCAUGAGUGCACAAAGUGCAGAGUUACACACUACGACCAUCUGCAAUGUCUUAUCCAAUUUGCAUGAGAGCGCUUAUUCUAAAUGCAAUUUUCGUGCCAGCGCAAGUGGGCGAGGGUGGGAGUGUUUGCGCUACUGUGGGUGUAUGCACGCAAACUUUGGGUAUACUGUAUGUUAAUGAAGUGCCGCAAAGCACAAUUUGCUAUUUUCAUGAGAAAUAGGUCAUUGUGAUUAGAAUUUCAAAAGUAGUGCAAAGUCUAAACUCAGUUCCUACAUUUGCAUAUUGGAGAUUUCACCGGCAGGUGGUUAUAAAGUUCACGUCAGAACUCUGAAAAUAUAGUGGAACAUCAAAUUAUGUGCAUGACGAUCACUGUUGUGUUAAACUAUCUAUAGGUCAUAGUUUAUUUUUCAGUUAUUAUUGUUUAUAUUUACAAUUGUAUUUAAGAUCUCAUUUAUAUUGGUAUUUUUUUCACCUAUUGUCGUAGAGUAAUUUUUAUGUCUGCAAAAGAAGUUAGUGGAAGUUGGUGGAAGAAGUUGGAGUAAAAUGUUUAGAUUUGGUAUGAUUUAUUUAUUUGUUUUUUUUACCACUUCGUUAUUGUGAUUAUAUUUUCGUUUAGUUUGAAUUGUUAUCUGAAUUUAGAAAUAUUUCUAGUUUAUAAUUGUUUGUAAAUCAAAAUCGACCGGUAAGAAGUGCAUUCCGAUAAAAUCACUUUUAAUACUAGCCAUUAUUUGUGUCAGUAGAUAAAAAUUUUUAUUUUUA